UACAGAGGGUGCGAGCGUUAAUCGGAAUUACUGGGCGUAAAGCGCGCGUAGACGGUUUUGUAAGUCGGAUGUGAAAUCCCCGGGCUCAGCCUGGGAACUGCGUUCGAGACUGCAUGGCUAGAGUACGGUAGAGGGAAGCGGAAUUUCCGGUGUAGCGGUGAAAUGCGUAGAUAUCGGAAGGAACACCAGUGGCGAAAGCGGCUUCCUGGACCAGUACUGACGUUCAUGUGCGAAAGCGUGGGGAGCAAACAGG
rnacentral:rRNA from 1 species